GGACUACUCGGGUAUCUAAUCCCGUUCGCUCCCCUAGCUUUCGCACAUGAGCGUCAGUAACGCGCCAGGAUGCUGCCUUCGCCUUUGGUGUUCUUCCAGAUCUCUACGCAUUUCACCGCUCCACCUGGAAUUCCGCAUCCCUCUCUCGUCCUCAAGUCUCCCAGUUUUCCAAGGCCUGCGAGGGUUAAGCCCCCACCUGUCACUCAAAACUUAAGAGACCGCCUGCGUGCGCUUUACGCCCAAUAAAUCCGGACAACGCUCGCCCCCUACGUAUUACCGCGGCUGCUGGCAC
rnacentral:rRNA from 1 species